GCCUGGCUGGCUCAGUUGGUAGAGCAUGUGACUUUUGAUCUCCGUGUCUUGAGUUCAAGCCCCAUGUCGAGCA
rnacentral:tRNA from 1 species